rnacentral:rRNA from 1 species
UGAACGCUAGCGGCAGGCUUAACACAUGCAAGUCGAGGGGCAGCACGUUAAGGAGUUUACUCUUUAUGGUGGCGACCGGCGGACGGGUGCGUAACGCGUAUGCAACCUGCCUGACACAGGGGGAUAAUCCGAAGAAAUUUGGUCUAAUACCCCAUAAUACCGAUAUAGGCAUCUAUGUUGGUUGAAAGCUUUGGUGGUGUCAGAUGGGCAUGCGUUGUAUUAGCUAGUUGGUGAGGUAACGGCUCACCAAGGCGACGAUACAUAGGGGGACUGAGAGGUUAACCCCCCACACUGGUACUGAGACACGGACCAGACUCCUACGGGAGGCAGCAGUGAGGAAUAUUGGUCAAUGGGCGGAAGCCUGAACCAGCCAUGCCGCGUGCAGGAAGACGGCUCUAUGAGUUGUAAACUGCUUUUGUACUAGGGUAAUUUGCGGUACGUGUACCGUAUUGAAAGUAUAGUACGAAUAAGGAUCGGCUAACUCCGUGCCAGCAGCCGCGGUAAUACGGAGGAUCCAAGCGUUAUCCGGAUUUANUGGGUUUAAAGGGUGCGUAGGCGGCAGAUUAAGUUAGAGGUGAAAUUCCGAGGCUCAACCUUGGCACUGCCUCUGAUACUGGUUUGCUAGCGAGUAGAUGCUGUAGGCGGAAUGUGUGGUGUAGCGGUGAAAUGCAUAGAGAUCACACAGAACACCGAUUGCGAAGGCAGCUUACAAAUUUNAUAUCNGACGCUGAGGCACGAAAGCGUGGGGAGCAAACAGGAUUAGAUACCCUGGUAGUCCACGCAGUAAACGAUGAUAACUCGUUNUCGGCGAUAUACAGUCGGUGACCAAGCGAAAGCGAUAAGUUAUCCACCUGGGGAGUACGUG